ACCCAGCUGACGAUCCAAAAUAAGACGAAACGAGCGUUCUGGAU
rnacentral:hammerhead_ribozyme from 1 species